CAUAAAACAUUUGGGAGAUACAAAGGCUCCUUUUUUAUGAUUCAUAUUAACAAUAAAAAAAAAAAAAACAAUAAAACCUGCGUGGUUCCAUACAACUGACAUUAGUAAGGCCUGAUUUGAUUUAAUCUUCUUCCUACACCUUACAAUACAAUAUUGCACCUCUGGACCAGCUGUUGGUCUUAAAAUUUAUAUCAGCUCUUUCAUUCUAGUUUCAAACAAAAGUAUAGACCAAACAUAAUGACUGAAAUUUAGCUGUUCAGGAAAAAAAACAAAAACUCUCAAACACUUAAAAAUCUAAGCAAAAUUUGAAAGAAAAACCAUAAAACAUUGUGAAUAUAACAACAAUAAAGUUAAGCUUCAAGUCAUGGAUAGUUAUUUUCAAUAAAGCAAACUAAAUCACUUUGUGUGAACACAAACUCUUGGAUGGCUUAGUGUGAUCACCUAAAUAAUUUUCAUAAAUAUUAUCUAUACAAAUAUUGACUAAAUAUUUGUCAUGAUUUGGGGGUGUUUGGUUUUUGGAUUUGGGUUUUUGUCAUUAUCAUUAUGUUUUCUAAGUUGUGUUUUGGAAUCUUGUUGCUUGCUGCUUAUUGUUUUUAUAGUUUGGGUUUGUUUUCUUGAGGUUGUUUUCAGCUCAUAGUGCCUUUUGGUUUGUGUUCUGCUACAGUUAUGUUUCUCAGGUUUUAUCAGGAUUUUCUGUGUUGUUCUAGCCUUGUUUUUGUCAGUUAUAUACACUGCUGUUCUUUUCAUGUUUUGUCAUUCCGGCCAUUAUUUAAAACUGUUGCUUGGUCUAAAGCAAUGUAGCAAUUUGGACUUGAUUAAACUUUAAGGAAAAUAAAGAACAGCUUAUAUGUAUAAAUAACCUUCAUUAAAUACAAACAGCAAAAACAAAAUUCUGAAUUCAACAUUACGUUUUUAUGUCUAAGAAAAAACCAAAUGCUGCUCAACCAGCUCAGAAAGAAAUAAAAGACAAAAAAGUUACAGACGGGUAGCCACACCUAAAAAAUAAUUGUUCACAUAAUUACUAAUUUCCAUGUUUGCGUGCACCUGAUGUCAUACUACCUGCUCUGGAUGGAUAUAAAGCCUUUGCUUUUAACCGGUAAACAGAACCAGUCAACCAGAACGCAGGAAGGAUUCCAGAGCAUCAAAACUUCUGCCACUGCAGUGAAAGAUAUUCAUUAGACAAAACAAGAAAUCCAGGGUAAAAGAUGAAGAUUUUAUUGAUACUCCUUCUGGUAGCUGGUGUAGCCACAACCAUGAUGACUGCGGCCCCAACCACAACCACCACUACUCCAAUACCAACCACUGCUGUAACAACCACUGCUGCAACUACAACAGCUACGGCUGCUUCAACAACAACCAUAUCUGUUCUGACAACAACCACAGACCUUCCAACUACAACCACAGUUUCUCCAACAACAACAGCUGCUUCAGCAACAACCACCGCUGCUCCUACAACAGCCACCACAGCUGCUUCAACAACAACCACUGUUCUUCCAACAACAACCUCAGUUUCUCCAACAACAACAGCUGCUUCAGCAACAACCACCGCUGCUCCCACA